UGAAAAUCCAAGUAAAUAUAUUUUUCCUGUUUUUGUCUUAUUUUUCUUUGAACAUUAAAACAUAAUAACAACAACUUCGUUGGAUCCUUCAGUUGCACACGUUAUUGUACCAGAGCAAGCCCUACGCAAUCGCCUUUGAUUAACUCUUCGGUUCACCAGAUUAAUAUCAAAACAUCAGUGUGCGAUAAAAACAAA
rnacentral:ribozyme from 11 species